GAUGAACGCUGACAGAAUGCUUAACACAUGCAAGUCUACUUGAAUUUGGGUUUUUUAACUUAGAUUUGGGUGGCGGACGGGUGAGUAACGCGUAAAGAACUUGCCUCACAGUUAGGGACAACAUUUGGAAACGAAUGCUAAUACCUGAUAUUAUGAAUAUAUGGCAUCAUAUAAUUAUGAAAGCUAUAAGCGCUGUGAGAGAGCUUUGCGUCCCAUUAGCUAGUUGGAGAGGUAACGGCUCACCAAGGCGAUGAUGGGUAGCCGGCCUGAGAGGGUGAACGGCCACAAGGGGACUGAGACACGGCCCUUACUCCUACGGGAGGCAACAGUGGGGAAUAUUGGACAAUGGACCAAGAGUCUGAUCCAGCAAUUCUGUGUGCACGAUGACGUUUUUCGGAAUGUAAAGUGCUUUCAGUUGGGGAGAAAAAAAUGACGGUACCAACAGAAGAAGUGACGGCUAAAUACGUG
rnacentral:rRNA from 1 species